UACGUAGGGUGCGAGCGUUGUCCGGAAUCAUUGGGCGUAAAGAGCGCGUAGGCGGCCCUGUAAGUCCGCUGUGAAAGUCAAGGGCUCAACCCUUGGAUGCCGGUGGAUACUGUUGGUCUAGAGUACGGAAGAGGCGAGUGGAAUUCCUGGUGUAGCGGUGGAAUGCGCAGAUAUCAGGAGGAACACCAAUAGCGAAGGCAGCUCGCUGGGACGUUACUGACACUGAGAUGCGAAAGCGUGGGGAGCAAACAGG
rnacentral:rRNA from 1 species